ensembl:lncRNA
UGACUCACUCACAAAAUAUUCCCGAGUGGCUGCUUCACUUCAGAUGCUGGAACACUGCUGUAGAACCAGUCUCCAGUCAACAGAUGAGAUGUCUGCCCAAAGGGAGGACAGAGAAGGCAACAAAUGGGAGAACUAACAACAAACACUACACUUAUAGAUGAGGACAGUAGGGAGGAAUUCACAGGAAAGCAGGAAGGAUGCUUGGGUGUAUAUCUCUGUGAUAGAGAGGAGCAGAAAAAGAUAAAUUAAGGGCAAUUCUCUCCAUGGCUCUGGGAAAGAAGUCUGGGUAGAGAACUGAGACAUGAUCCUGAUGUCCAGAUGGGUCUUUAGUAGACUGGCUGGCUGGAAAAAGUCCUGGGUUGGACAUGGGAGAAGAAACAAGCUGGAUGCUGAAGGACACGCCAGCCCAACAGACCUUUGGAUUUCCAUGUAAGCAAAAUAAGAAAUGCACCAGAGAGGAAGGGGGAAGUAUGAAACUAACCAAGAUGGAGAAGUAGGAAGAAUCACCAACGCAAGGCUCUUUCCAGCCAGAAUGGUUGAAAGAAUAAUAGGAAAGAGAAGGGAGUAUGCCAGGUUGCCCAGUGAGCAGGGCUGAUGGAUGAAACAAGGGUGUAGCUGCCAGACUGCUUUGAGUCUUAACAGAGACUGAAUUUGGAUAUUUGAGUGACACUGGAUCUUUUAAACCAUUGGCUGCUCUUGGAGUUGGAGUAGAUGCAUUUUCCAGUAAGAAAAAAUAAAAGAAAAGAAAAAGAAAAAUUAGGCUUUGCAGUUAUGAAAAUUUUGCAGCUUGAAUCAGACAUGUUGGGGGACAUUUUGAGUGUGCUCCUGAGUAGACAGUAGUAUUUUGUGAAGGCAUGGGGACCUUAGGAAGUAGGCCUGGUUGGUGCACAUAGAGGUGUGCUCAGCUCUCUGCUUCCUUUGUACACAUGAUUUGAGGAGGCUUUCCCACAUGUUCCUGACACCACAUAAGGGGUCAAUAUGGCUGUCAUCUCUUCCCUUCCAUGAUGGACUUGAGAUUUAGUACAACUGCAAGUCAGGAUAAGCCUUUUCUUCCUUGUCCCUGACAAGGACUUCAGUCAAUAGUGACACAAACAUAGAUAAUACAUUAACUUGCUGCUUCAUGUAGUAGUUCUUGGGCAAAAAGCCUGGAGGAACCAUCCAGCACAUAUCCCUGCGAGGGACAAGGGCAGACGGAGUUUGUGUGGGGAUCCAUGAAUGAUGAGGGCCACAGAGUCUGGAGUAGUAUAAGAAAGGGUAGAGCCUCCCAGCUGAAGUCUAGGAAAUGCUGCCUUUUGCUGCAUUGGAACAGCUUAGUAUUUGUGCAAAACAAGGAGCUGAAGGGCUUCCCCAACUAUGGGUACCAUAAUACAAACCUGAAGGACAUCUCUUACUCAGUUGCCCAGUGCAGAUCUGCUCCUCCGGAG